GAUGAACGCUGACAGAAUGCUUAACACAUGCAAGUCUACCAAGAAUCACUUCGGUGGGGAAUGGUGGCGGACGGGUGAGUAACGCGUAAAUAAUCUGCCCUUUAGACUGGGAUAUCCUUUGGAAACGAAGGUUAAUACCGGAUAUUAUGAGAUGGACGCAUGUUCAACUUAUGAAAGCUAAAUGCACUAGAGGAGGAGUUUGCGUCCCAUUAGCUAGUUGGUGAGGUAAAGGCUCACCAAGGCCACGAUGGGUAGCCGGCCUGAGAGGGUGAACGGCACAAAGGGAACUGAGAAACGGUCCUUAUCCCUACGGGAGGAAGAAGUGGGGAAAAUUGAAAAAUGGACAAAAAGUUUGAUCCAGAAAUUUUGGGUGAACGAUGAAGGUCUUCGGAUUGAAAAGUGCUUUCAGUAGGGAAGAAAAAAAUGACGGUACCUACAGAAGAAGCGACGGCUAAAUAUGUGCCAGCCGCAGUAAAAC
rnacentral:rRNA from 1 species